rnacentral:rRNA from 1 species
UGUGAAGGUCAAUUGAGAAGUUGGCUGGAGGUAUCAGAAGUGCGAAUGCUGACAUAAGUAACGACAAUGCGAGUGAAAAACUCGCACGCCGGAAGACCAAGGGUUCCUGUCCAACGCUAAUCGGGACAGGGUUAGUCGGCCCCUAAGGCGAGGGCGAAAGCCGUAGUCGAUGGGAAACAGGUUAAUAUUCCUGUACUUUUUGGUACUGCGAUGAGGGGACGGAGAAGGCUAGGCCAGCGCGGCGUUGGUUGUCCGCGUUUAAGGUAGUAGGCUGGGAUCUUAGGUAAAUCCGGGAUUCCGUUAGGCCGAGAACUGAUGACGAGUGUCCAUGUGACGCGAAGUGGUUGAUGCCAUGCUUCCAGGAAAAGCCUCUAAGCUUCAGGUAUCAAGGAACCGUACUCGAAACCGACACAGGUGGUCAGGUAGAGAAUACCAAGGCGCUUGAGAGAACUCGGGUGAAGGAACUAGGCAAAAUAGCACCGUAACUUCGGGAGAAGGUGCGCUCUCUGGUGUGAAGGACUUGCUCCGUAAGCAUCAGGGAGUCGAAGUGACCAGGCCGCUGCAACUGUUUAUCAAAAACACAGCACUCUGCAAACACGAAAGUGGACGUAUAGGGUGUGACUCCUGCCCGGUGCCGGAAGGUUAAUUGAUGGGGUUAGCGCAAGCGAAGCUCUUGAUCGAAGCCCCGGUAAACGGCGGCCGUAACUAUAACGGUCCUAAGGUAGCGAAAUUCCUUGUCGGGUAAGUUCCGACCUGCACGAAUGGAGUAAUGAUGGCGGCGCUGUCUCCACCCGAGACUCAGUGAAAUUGAAAUCGCUGUGAAGAUGCAGUGUACCCGCGGCAAGACGGAAAGACCCCGUGAACCUUUACUAUAGCUUGGCACUGGACUCUGACACUAUCUGUGUAGGAUAGGUGGGAGACUUUGAAGCGUGGUCGCUAGACUGCGUGGAGUCAACCUUGAAAUACCACCCUGGUAUUGUCGGGGUUCUAACGCUGACCCGUCAUCCGGGUUGCGGACAGUGUCUGGUGGGUAGUUUGACUGGGGCGGUCUCCUCCCAAAGAGUAACGGAGGAGCACGAAGGU